CUCCUUUUCUGCCACAACAAACAAGCCAUUAUUAACUAAAGUACUAGCACCACAAGGAGACAAAUGCAGUUAAAGUUGCUGCAAGAUAAAACAAGAUUAAAAACAACCCAAAUCAGAACCUCACGAGUACACACUCUCAUCUAUAAAGGCAGCCCCUCCAUACUUACCAAAUCCCAUCCACAUACCAUUAAAGGAAUUCAGCAACACAGCAAUUACAGGAACAAGUAGCAAUCUCAAGUGCUUAUCAGUGCAGAAACCCACCCACAAGAGGAACGUCGUCGCACGACGAGUUAUCCCAAGUCAGGAAGCGCCCGUUUGAAAGAAUUAAGCAGACGAGAAUUAAUGGUGGAAGAGGGAAGGUGAAGAAGGUGGAAAUGGAGGGUCUCUACUUGAAGAAACUGUCGGCCAUGAGGGAGAGGAAGAAGAAGAAAGGAUUCUUGGGCUUGCUCCCAUUUGUUUGGAAAAGAAUUUGGGCUCCCACAAUUUAAUUAAAUUUGUUUUGGGCUCAUUUAGUUGUAAGACCCACACUUGUAUAAUUCUUUAUUGGUUAGACUUUUUAA